AUGGAUCUCGGCCCGCGGGACCGCUUGGCUCCUCCGCGGGAGGCAGGCGGGGACCGGAGCCCUCUUCCGAUCCAACUCCGAGCGGCGACCGCCUCCUCCGAAAAGCCGCCCGAGAGGAGGGCGGGACGCGCCGGGGCCGCGGGUGCCGAGCGCCAGCAGCCCGCGCCGUGUGUGGUGCGGCGAGGGGUGGGGAGGAGGCGCGGGCGGGGGAGGGCUUUAUUUUUUCCCUCUUUUCCUAAAAAGGAUGACUGCUACGAAGUUCUCCCCCCUGGACCCCCUCUUCCGCUGCACCCCACCGGCGCACCCCGCCUCCGGGCCGCGCACCCUUUCUCCUCCUCCUGCUCCUGCGCCGCGGCGCCGGCGGCGGCCGCCCCCUCCGCGCUCCCGCCGCGCUCCCGCUCCCGCUCCCGCGCCGCUCCCGCUCCGGGCGAUGACGGCCGCGCCGGCGGGGAGGGCCCGGCGCCCGGCACCUUCGCAGGCAGCGGCGGCGGCGGCGGCGGCGGGCGGCUCGGCGGGGAAACCGGGAGCGGCGGGCGGGAGCGCGGCGGGGGCGGGGGCGGGGGCGGGGGCGGGGAGGAAGGGGCGGGCGCGGGGCGGGCGGGGGGCCUGGCCUCUUACUUCAUUCUCUCUGAGCGACUGGUUUCCUGUACGUACGUCACACGGUUCAUUCAAAAAAAGAAGAAAGAAAGAGCCCUCCUCGGAGCCGCCCCGCCGCCCCGCCGCCCCGCCGCCCCGCCGCCCCGCCGCCGCGCUCGCCUUCCCGGGUUAAAGGAGCCGCGGCCGGGCCGGGAGCGGCGCGCGCCCCGCCGAGGACACAUGGCGCGCAGGCCCGCGGCCGGGGAGGGCGCGCCCGGGACGCCCCCGCCCGCCAGCCCCGCCCGCCCGCCCGCUCGCUCGCCGGGCCCGGCCGGUGGGUGGCGCGGGCGGCGCAGGCCUCCCGCGCGGCCGCGGCGCGGUGGGUGUGCGAGGGGCCUCCUCGGGCCUGCGAGGGGCGGGCGCGCCCGGGGCACUGCUGCGCGCGGGAGCCGCGCCGACCCCUCGGGCCGCGUGUGCGUGCGCGUGUGCGUGUGCGUGUGCACACAUCGCGGUGCCGGCUGCCGGCAGCUGCCGGGCGGAGACCCAGGCCCACGCCGGCCCCGAGCGGGGGCGCCGGGCGAUGCCCUCCGGCGGGGCGGGCCGGGACGGCCGGGGACGGGCCGGGGACGGGCCAGGGAAGCCCCCGGCGAGCGCCGGGUUCACUCGCAAGUCGCGUCCCAGGUGUGCGGGCGCAGCGCCCGCCCUGGAGACGCCAUCCGUGCCCAGGGCCGGACACAGCUCUGCGCGGGCCGGGAGGGGCGAGGCGGGGAUGUCAAGGGCUUGCAAACGGCUAAGUCCAUGUUUGUCCUCUGCCCCCGAGGGUCCUGGCGCUAG
rnacentral:lncRNA from 1 species